rnacentral:lncRNA from 1 species
GGGGACGUAAAAUCCGAUGCCUCGUGUAAAGUGAGUGCCAUGCUCUUUGCACGUUAAGAACCCUUGCAACAACUCUUUGAGGGGUCCGUAGGUGGCCUGUUGCAAGGCAAAAUUUCUGUCCCUAUCCAAUAUACCCUCAUUUUCCAGUGGCAGUCCAAAUUUCCCCGACCAUCAUCCUAGAUGGCCUCUAUUACAACAACCUACCUAUUGUAUUUAUUGUGAACUUGUUCUCGUCCUGAAUAUGCAUGAAAUAUUUGCCACUGGACGUUAAGCAACCAACAAUCAAUCAAUCAAUCAAAAACC